UGCCUGUCUUAGGAGAGACGCAUUUGGCUUGCAACCUUUCCCUGGGAUGUGGGAGGGGUCGGUUGCAGAGGGCUGGUAAAGGAUGUGUACAGCUGUGACUCUUCACCCUCAGAAGGGGUGGCCAAGACAUUUCUAUCGUCUUCCUCCCUUCCUCUUUAGCUCUUCUGCCUGACAACCCUCCAGUCUUGCUGGUAGGGGAGGGACUUCUGAAUGAGGUCAACACAGAAGAGACUCAGUUUCCUGGAGACAAAGCAUCUGAAUGAACGGAACACGCUAAAUGAAUGUAAUAAUGGUUAUUUGAAGAAAAUGACGAAGGUGAUUGAAUUCCUGGGCAGAUAAGCAGACCACAUGACUCAGGUCAAUGAAGAGAGAGCUAGUGAAGAUACUAGACAACACAUCCAUUGGUGCCCUCCUGCUCAUAGCCUCUGCUUCUUGGGUGGCCGUGUUUUACCCUAUUUAGCCACCAUCCCCUGCAUCACACACACCACUUUCCAAUGGAUGAAGGCAGCAUCUGACCCAAGGCCAGACAGGCCACAGGUUGGCCAAAGCCCACGGUGCAAAGAUGAGCUAU
rnacentral:lncRNA from 1 species